UACAGAGGUCUCAAGCGUUGUUCGGAUUCAUUGGGCGUAAAGGGUGCGUAGGCGGCGCGGUAAGUCGGGUGUGAAAUCUUGGAGCUUAACUCCGAAAACUGCAUUCGAUACUGCCGUGCUUGAGGACUGGAGAGGAGACUGGAAUUUACGGUGUAGCGGUGAAAAUGCGUAGAUAUCGUAAGGAAGACCAGUGGCGAAGGCGGGUCUCUGGACAGUUCCUGACGCUGAGACGCGAAAAGCGUGGGGGAGCGAACAGG
rnacentral:rRNA from 1 species